rnacentral:rRNA from 1 species
UACGUAGGGGGCAAGCGUUGUCCGGAUUUAUUGGGCGUAAAGAGCUCGUAGGUGGUUCGGUAAGUCGGAUGUGAAAUCUCCAGGCUCAACCUGGAGGGGUCAUUCGAUACUGCCGUGACUAGAGGUCGGUAGGGGAGUGUGGAAUUCCUGGUGGAGCGGUGAAAUGCGCAGAUAUCAGGAGGAACACCCGUAGCGAAGGCGGCACUCUGGGCCGAUACUGACACUGAGGAGCGAAAGCGAGGGGAGCAAACAGG